rnacentral:rRNA from 1 species
GUAGGGAAUCUUGCGCAAUGGGCGAAAGCCUGACGCAGCCAUGCCGCGUGAAUGAUGAAGGUCUUAGGAUUGUAAAAUUCUUUCACCGGGGACGAUAAUGACUGUAGCCGGAGAAGAAGCCCCGGCUAACUUCGUGCCAGCAGCCGCGGUAAUACGAAGGGGGCUAGCGUUGCUCGGAAUUACUGGGCGUAAAGGGAGCGUAGGCGGACAUUUAAGUCAGGGGUGAAAUCCCGAGGCUCAACCUCGGAACUGCCUUUGAUACUGGGUGUCUUGAGUGUGAGAGAGGUGAGUGGAACUCCGAGUGUAGAGGUGAAAUUCGUAGAUAUUCGGAAGAACACCAGUGGCGAAGGCGACUCACUGGCUCAUUACUGACGCUGAGGCUCGAAAGCGUGGGGAGCAAACAGGAUUAGAUACCCGGGUAGUCC